rnacentral:lncRNA from 10 species
AAUCUGAAUGGCACAGGCUUUUACAGUUUCUCCUUUAGCUGCUCCACUGGAGGGCUGUUGAGAAAAUUAUCCAAAUCAUGUUAAUGAGCAAUUGAGUGCUGAGUUUCUCUGAGGGAAGAUAACGAACAAAAGCUCUGGUUAGGGCUGGCAGCCAGGAGCUGAGAUAGUUAUCUCAGCUGAUACCACCAAGGGGCUCUCAGCUCAAAUAAUUAACUCAAUUGCCUCCUCUCAGGGGUGAAGUGGGGCUAAUAAAACGUAACCACCUAGCCUGUGGGAAAAUGACUGAGUGCCCAUAGAUGAAGUGCUUUCAAGACUGUCUGGCACCUAGAGGUAUCAUCGCAGAAGCCUUGGAUAUGAACAGAAGCAGGCAGAGGAUGAAGCUGAUGGUGUGCAUGGUCACUGUGCUCCUGCCCAUUUUUGAGCUUCUGGAAUACAAGCUGUGCCUUUGCCUGGAAUGUCCCUCCCAGUCUGACUAGGCAUCUUCUGAUGGGGUUUGACCUGGUUGCUUCUAACACUAGGAUGGACCUCUUGGCAAUCUCUGGAUAUCUUUCUGUGGUUUGUUAUAAUGGUAAUUAUUACUUAUCUGGCUGCUUCACAUUGAUUAAUUAGUGGCGGAUAAGAAAACCAGAUGGCUAGCUGUGUUGUAACGGAGCUACAUGAUCUCUAUCCUCUAAGGUUUUCUAGUGAUUCUUUUUCAGGUUUUUUUAUGUUUUGUUUUUGACCUUAAAUAUAGACCACAAGGGUGUAGAGUGAUACGCAAAGCAGAACUCUUGAUUUAUAUUUUCUCCUCAAACUUUCAUCUUCCCCAAUUACCCACAGUGCAUGGUAAUACCAUCCAUUUAAUUUCUUAAGACAAAAAAGCCUGGGACUUAGCAAUUGAUCAUGAGUCUGUCUUUCCCUAGACCCAAGCCAUCAGCAAGUCCUAUCCAUUCUACCUGCAUGGCACCCCUCAAAUUCAUCUUCUUCUCUCUACCUCCAUGGUCCAGGUUCCCAGCAUUCUUGUCUGCACCGCUAACUCUUUAUUUUUAUUCUCCGUUGUCCAGCAAGUGAUUGGAAUCAUGUUUUAAGACAAAUUUGAUCAUGUUGCUCCUUUGCUCAAAGAUGCCCAAAUGGCUCCCUGCUGCACGUGGGAUAAAAAGUCAGGCCUUUACCUUGGCCCUGGAAGCAACACUCUGGCCCCUGCUAACUUCUCCAACUUCAGUUGGUACCAUUCCAUUCUCCACUUCUCACUGUGCUUCAGCCACACUAGCGCUCUUUUUGUUCCUUGAACUGGGCAAAUCAUUCCAUUGCCAGAGCUUUUUCAUCACCUGUUUCCUCCCUUUGGAAUAUGCUUCCCUCCAGUCUUCACAUGGCUGACUCACCUGUACUUUCAGAUCUUGAAUUAAAUGACACCUCUUCAGAGAAGCCUUCCCUGACCACUCCAUUUGGAAUAACAUGACCUCCCUCCCCUCUGUACACAGAGUCUUACUCUCUCAUAUCAUCUUGUUUCAAGUUCUUCCCAACAUGCACCACCAGAUUUUCUAUUUGUUGUCUCUCUUCCCCCAGUCAGAAUGAACUCUAUCAGAGCAGGAACCACUGUGGCUCCAGCACCUAGACAUACAAUAGGCUCUCAAAAUGUUUGUUGAAUGAAUGAAUAGAUCAGUCAAUAGUAACCUAAGAAUAAACUGAGAGUCAGGCAUCCUGGGUUCAAAUCUUACCUGGCUGCUCUCAAGCUAUGUGACUUUGAAUAUGUCAUGUGUGGGCUCUGGGCCUCCCUCUCAAUAUCUCUAAAAUGAGAUCUGAUUUAAUGAUCCCUAAAGUCCUUUGCAGCUUUCAGAUAUACUCUGAUCCUAUCAGCCGUUCAAUAUUGUUGACCAUAAAAAAUGGUCAAAGACGCUGAUGACAGCAAUGACCCCAGCUAUAGUUGAACUAUUUUUUAAUCCCAUGAGACAUCCCAGGCUACAUUUUAUUUAUGAUUUAUAUUUAAGUAUCAUAUCCAAAAAGUAUUUGAUGCAGCUCAAGUUUCAGACCCACUUCCCCAAAGAAGUCCUUACUUGCACCAUUUAUACAGGGAGAAGAAGAAGCACUCCCAUCUAGAUUGCUGUAUCAGAAUGGACUGUUAUGAUUGCAAAUGGCAGAAACCUAACUCAAUGCAACUAUAACAAUGAGGGAAAUGUCUUGGCAGCUCUUGAAAUCCAUGGAAGAACAAAAUGAUCCAGGUGCUGGAGGGACAGCAACAGAGCUGGACCUCAGGUGCUGCUGGAGCCAGAGGCUCAAUUUUCACUAGUCUUCCUUCCAGCUUCAUCUCUGUCUCUAUCAGUGUAUUGAUAUUCUUCUCUCUCAAUACAGCCUGGUUCUUUCCACAUAGUCCCAGCGCAGCAUUUAUCACACUCUGUAUUAACUUAUUUAUUUGUUUUCUUGCUUACUUUCAGUCUCUCAGUACAAUAAAAUAUGUUGAAGGCAAAAAUCCUAUGCAUUUCUGUGUCCCUUGCACCCAGUGAAGUGUCUGGAGCAUAGAAGAUGCUCAAUAAAUAUUAAUUGCAUAAAUCAGUGGUAGAAAACAUAGCAACCAACUUAUUCAGUGUUUAAUAUCCAACAACUUUAGUUCCUGGAAAAAAGCUAACAAAACUCUCUAGGGUUCUGCUCAAAAAAUAAAAUGAGUUAAUGAGAAAAACAAGUAAAAUCUCAGGGAAGGGACUUAUUUGUCCAGCUAGGCCAUAUGCUUACCCUUGGACCAAACAGUAGUAACUAUUGCCUGUGAUAAUGUCUUUGCAUCUAUGUGAAGCAGGGGAGGAGAAUCUUUUAGAAAAAGGUCAUAGGAGGAAAUCCCAGAGGAGUCAACACACUCACAGAGUUGUUGUGGAGAUCAAAUGAGCCAUUGCAGAAGAGGGUGCUUUGGAGAGCUAUUAUGAAGUUCCCAUUUUUGUAGGUCAAAAUUGAUCAAAUAUUGGCAAUUUUAUAUAUUUCCACUUAAUGUAAAAGUGUUAAAGAUGUUAUAUGGAUGUAAAAUAUGACUAAUUUGAUUUCAAGUCAGCAGAAUAAGAAAAGAAAACCAUGUUUUUAAGAUGAAGGGUUAAGUUGAUUCCCUUUUAUAAUGAUGGUAGCCGAAUAUGGUUAGCAUGUGCUAGCUUUAUGGGGAGCAGUGCUACAUGGGUUAUCUCAUUUUUUUCUUCCAACCCUUCCAUGAGAUAGGUACUAAUAAUUACAUCCCCAUUCUACAGACAAAGAAACUAAAGUUUCAAUGAGGUUAAACUAUUUGCUCCAGAUGACACAGUUCAAAAAG